GGCGCCCAUCCUAGUCUUUCCUGUUUGCUUAAAUUGGUUAGCAUCUUGCCCUGUGGCGAGAGUUCAUGUUUGGCCGAGUCACGUUCGAAAUAGCGUGAGGCUGGAUAGGCCGAGUCAUAUUCGAAAUGGCAUGAGGCUAAAUAGGCCGAAUCACAAUUGAGACCCGUGGGCGCUGUAUAUGUACGCUUUAAAUGAAUUGGUUGCGUAUUUGUAACAGCUCGAGCUUUUAGGAUUAAUGAUUAGCACUAAUGAUUCGACACUCCCUUCCUCUCCAUCGGCUUCUUUCUCUCUCUCU
rnacentral:lncRNA from 1 species